UACCUAGAAUGACGGGGGAUGUUGGACUCAUGAGACCUCCUGGACUGGAUUUAAUGGCUGGAGCUACUGGACUGGAAGGAGAUAAAGGUGAGAAAGGAGAUCAAGGAAACAUGGGGAUGCCUGGUGCUCCGGGGAAACUUGGGAGACAAGGAGAGAAAGGUCUACUCCAGAAACGAGAACGACAGCAUCUUCACCGGCUUCCUGCUCUAUGCUGACCCCACGGCCUGACCUACGACUUCGUCUGUGAACCCGGCUUGACCUCUGCGUGAGCUUUAUCUGACAAUUUAUGAUGACUGGAUCGCCUCCAAACUCUUUUCACUACUCUGAUAAAUCAUUUCUUUCAAUAUAGCUACUGCUACUAACUUUGUUCCUGCUUGUUGCUAUCAAAAUAAUCUGACCAAAUGCUUGCUGUAUUUUGAUGGUAAAGGCUGUAACACUUUAUCCAGUGGUUCCCAAACAGUGGAAAAACUUUUCAGUGUAAACUUAAAUGACUAAAACCAAAUAGAAUGUAUGUAGGAAAGAUAAUGGACCUAUAUAUUUUUCAAUAAUAGCCUAUAAUCUUUGAGAAUUUACAAUCAACAAAAUAGAGGUAGACAAUCAGGACCCUAUUGAUUUUGUUAAAAUGCUUGAGCAUAAGAACACCAGCCAUGUCAACAUUUGGAAAUUAGCUUAAAAAGAGAAAACAAAUGACCUCAGCUCCGUGGCAAAAUGCAUGGAAUUGCAGGGAAUUGACUUUAAAAUGGCUAAAUGUUCUUUCAGCUCCAUGGCAGGAUGUGUGGAAUUGCAGGAGAUUAGCUUUGAAACUGCUACAUUUUCUUAUCUAGAUGCCAAGAUAAUGUUUGGUACUUAUUCUUGGUCUGUGUAUGUUUUUUUUAUUUUUUAAGCUCAACCCUUAUGUUGGGUCACGACUCAAAAGACACCUCAAUCGGUGGGUCAGUUUGGGAAUCCCUGCUUUAUACAACGCUUACAGUUCUAUCAAUGCAAUAAAACACUGCUAAUACUUGAAGUGAAAA